GACAGAGGUCUCGAGCGUUUAGGCGGAAUCACUGGGCUUAAAGCGUGUGUAGGCGGACUUGUAAGUACCUUGUGAAAUCCCACGGCUCAACCGUGGAACUGCUUGGUAUACUGGCUUGUCUUGGGCCAUCUAGGGGUUACCGGAACAAACGGUGGAGCGGUGAAAUGCGUAGAUAUCGUUUGGAACGCCAAUGGUGAAAACAGGUAACUGGGGAUGUGCCGACGGCUGAGACACGAAAGCCAGGGGAGCGAACGGG
rnacentral:rRNA from 1 species